AGAGCCCAUCCUCCUCACUUUCCCCUCGUCCCUUCCGCUUCGCCUUUGCCGUCCGCCUCGUCACUCCGCCGUCGGAAGCGUGCAUCGACGCCCGCGGGGAGAGCACCACCAGGCCGCCGACGAGCAACCUCCGUCCGCCAGCGCGUCUCCGGCGAGAGGAGGAGGCCGCCGUCAACGGGCAGCAGUGCACGACGAGAUGAGGAGGCGCACGGGGAGGACACCGCCAGGCCAUCGACGAGUGCCCUCACACUUCCAACACCGUCCGCCAGCGCGUCUCCGGCUAGAGGAGGAGGCCGCGGUGCGUUCGGAUAAGGUCGUCGCUUUCGUGGAGGCUGCCAUGUCGGGUGGAAGCGGCUGGUUGCAGGUUCUUUCUUGGUCUGCUGUCCUGGGCAGCUCGUGGGCGUGUGCUACUGUGAGUUGUUCCUGCGACUGCUUGUUAUUCAGAUGCCGAUCAAUCAACUGAGUGAGCUUACCCAGGGACAUCAGGAAUGGACGAUCCAUGUGUAUGUGUCUCGCCUCUGGCAGCACCAUGGAGGGACGGAUGUGGGACCCAUCAAACAUACUGAUACUGUGUUUGUGUUCCAGGAUACAAAGAUAUUGACUGAGGCACAUUGUUCUUGUUCCACUGGGUUACUGGUCCUAUUGCUUAUUACUUAUUUGUUGUUGUCUUCUUGUUUUUUAGGGAAAUGAUAUGUAUGGGGAGAUUGCUGCGGGUUUGGUAAACCAGUUCAUGGAAAAAAUGAAACAGGGCAAAGUCUAUGAGCUGCGUAGGUAGGUAACUGCAGCGAAAAAACUAUACAAGCCCGUGGAAGGUGAACUCAUGAUUAGGUUCGGCAGAUACAAAACCGUGCGGAGAUCGAUGAUAAUCUCAUGGAUUACCCCAUGGCCCGUGUGUACUUAUGCUUUGACCCCAAUCGAUGAUCUCCCAAGUCUGACUGAUAAUCCGGAGUCUUCCACAGGACACUCUGCCACUCAGGUUCUAUAUUUUCAGGUUCUAAACGAAUGCCCCAAAGUUUACAUUAUCGGUAUGGUUACUUCUCCUAAUAAGUGACAAAAGGCUCAAAUAAGUUGUAUAUAAAUUCUUCUGGUCUAGGUUAGUUUUGGAUCCCUGAAAAGGAUCUUCACGUCCUGCUAGGAUGCUACCAUGUAAAAAUUAAUAUGCUAAGCCCUGCCCUUUAACCAUACUUAUGGGUCUUCAUUAUCGACCACUAAGAAACUGAUGCACAUAUUAGUUGAGCAUGUAUACUAAGGAUUUUCUCUUCUUUUUUCAUAGAUUUUAAAAGGUAUAGGUUAGCCUUGCAUGAUUCACAGAUUACAGGAUUAGACCUAAAUUUAAGUAAUUACAAUUACACAGGUCUUAAAAUAUCAUUGGUAUGUGUUCGGUAAGAAAAAAUAAUGCCAGCUUAUCAAUCUUUAUACUAAAGAUGCUAUUUCCCAAAAAUCUUUUCGCGCCAAUGAGGCGAAAUCUCCAAUCUGAAUUCGCUUCCCAUUUCAUGUGCCCUCUUACAUAUGAAAAAAUGGUGCUAUUUAUGUAAUGAGAGUUUGUUUGUACUACAUAUGAAAAACGAUAUAUGCACGGUCACUCAAACUUGCGAUGCCGGCAAAAAGAUCAUGACCAGAUCAUUCUCCAAGGGGGUAUUGAUAAACGAUGCAUGAUGGUAGGAAGACUACAUCUAAACUCAGUGCUUCUUAACAAAGUCAGUGAGACCUUUUCAGAGAGUUUGAAGAACUAAUUCCGUAUUCUGCAGUUUUCUGUUUUCCAGAAAUGUUUUUUAGCUUGUGAAAAUCAUAACUAAUUCAUAUAUAAUCGGAAAAAUGCAAAUAAGAUAACCGAAUGUUCAGAAAAAAGAAACUCUAUCUGUUUAUAUCAAAAUCAUGCAUGUUUGAAUAUUUUCAGAACUGUUUUAGACAAGACUCGUUUUGACCAGAAAAGCCCGUGCUCGGUUAUUUCGAGCACAUGCUUCUUCGGUGAAGAGGAAUCAGACGAUUCGAAUGAAGUUUUUUUGUAACGUAUCAAUAAGAUCAAGUCCUGAUAGGAAAAUAGUUCAAACACUUUCAGCUUUAGUGUUUUCUAUUUUCUAUUCUGCUUUUCAUUAACAUUGUUUUUAUAUUGUUGUUGUUCCGAUUACUCUAUGUGCACGAUUCAUUGAUUUUAUCUAUGUCUCUCUACUGAUUACUCUAUUUUCAACUGUAAAUCCAGGCACAUUGACUUUAGAAAUUAUAUGCAUCAUUCACUGGUUCAGGUACAAUGUGGAGAUCAUAUCUUUUGCCUUCGUCUAGCUCAUGCUAACUGACCUUAUUCAGAUUCUCUUAACUUUCACUCUACGCAUACUGCUGAAAUCGUCGCUCGUACUAUGUUGGUGCUCGAAUUGAACUUGCUAUUCUCCGCAACACUAAGAUUUUUUGAGUACUAAUGGAAAAGAAAAUAUUUCCUUCAUCCUAAGAUACUACUAAAAUAAUAUCAGGGUGGCCAUAUUUUUUCCGUGUAAAGCUAUGUUUGUUAGUCCAUUGGUAGGUCUUGGUGUGCAGUACACUUUUGUUAGGAAAAGUGACUUAUGCAACUUCUUGAUACAAACACUCUUUCAUUGGCAAGUGUUAUGUGUUGCUUAUUCUGAAAAGGCAAUGAAUUUCAGCUAAUGUUUCUGCAUGAGUGUUCUGUUGUCACAAUAGUUCGAUGUCUUGGUUAAGUUGUAAUGCUUUCAUUUCCAUAUUAUUAUUUGUUCUUCAUAGGUUGUUAAUUAUUCUAAAAACACAGAGAAAUUUUAGCUAAUGUUUCUACAGAUGAAUGUGUUAUAUAGUCUCAAUAGGUAGAUGCAUUAUUUAACUUGUAACCGUUACCUUAGAUGAAUAAUUAUUUGUUGUUCGCAGGGUACCGUACGCUUGAUCCAUUCUCUUUAUCUGAAAGUUAGUAAAAUGCUCACUGUACUUUUCUUUGGUUGUCGCUACUUGCUCAUGCAUACUGGUAUCCGUUAUAAUUUCUGGUUGACUGUUCUUUUGGAUUGAUUUUUGCAGUAUCCAUGGUUAAUUCAUCUCUGACUCUUUGUUUUUUUUAAUUAAUUGGUACAGUAUCCAUGGCCAUUUAUAUUAAUUAUUAUUUGUAUAUGAUGAUGUUAGUGAUGCCAACACUUUGUUGAAGCCUGUGACUCUCAAGCCCCUGGAAGUGACCUUCAACCUACCUAAGCAGCAACAGCAUGAGGAUGUGCUUGCUGCCGUAACAGCGCAACCACUACCUGAUGAUGAUGACAAUCUGAUCCAGUAGAGAGAGGAUCAUGAGUUGAUUGUGCUUUGUACAAGAGUUUGCUACUUUUAGGUUGAAAGGCUUGAUAUUCAGGCCGGAAUGUUUUCCUUGGAUCAAGAACUAUUGUGUGACAUUGAUCUACAUCUUGCCAUGGAUUUCUUGGCCACAUUGUUGCGUUACUUAUUGGUUCAUUAGUAUUAUUAUGCAUCCCA